GAUGAACGCUAGCUACAGGCUUAACACAUGCAAGUCGAGGGGAAACGACAUCGAAAGCUUGCUUUUGAUGGGCGUCGACCGGCGCACGGGUGAGUAACGCGUAUCCAACCUGCCCACCACUUGGGGAUAACCUUGCGAAAGUAAGACUAAUACCCAAUGAUAUCCCUAGAAGACAUCUGAAAGAGAUUAAAGAUUUAUCGGUGAUGGAUGGGGAUGCGUCUGAUUAGCUUGUUGGCGGGGUAACGGCCCACCAAGGCAACGAUCAGUAGGGGUUCUGAGGGGAACGUCCCCCACAGGGUAACUGGGACACGGGCCAAAGUCCUACGGGAGGCAGCAGUGAGGAAGGUAGCAGAAGGGAAGAGAGUCUGAAGCAGCGAAGUAGCGUGCAGGAAGGCGGCCCUAGGGGUUAUGAACUGCUUUUAUAAGGGAAUAAAGUGAGUCGCGGGAGACUUAUUGCAGGUACCUUAUGAAUAAGGACCGGCUAAUUCCGUG
rnacentral:rRNA from 1 species